rnacentral:tRNA from 1 species
UAGAGAGUAAACUAAGUAAAGUUAUUAGGUUCAUACCCUAGCUAUGGAUAUAUUCCCUCUUUAA